ACUGGGGUGAGAUGGGAUCCUAAAGCAGUUUACAUUUGUAUUUCCCUGAUGGCUAAGGGUGCAGGCCACUUUUAAAGUAUUUAUUGGUCAUUUUCAUUCCUUCUUUUGAGAACUGACUAUUUAGUUUAAUUUUUUUAUUGGAUAAUUUGGUUUCUUAGUGUUUCAGUUUUGCUGUUCCUUAAAUAUCCUUGACAUCAUCAAUCCUUUGCUUGAUCUGUAUGUGGAAAAGAAGUAUUUCCUGACUCAUCACUCAGCUGCUGAUGUCAACAAGGGCAUAAGCUCAUGGUGGCAACCAUCUCACCCGGGCCAUACAUGAAGGACAGAAACAGUGUGCUCACAGAAGAAACACUACAUGUACACACAGUGCUUUAGUCAAACACUUGGGAAGUGGAUGGCUUACACACACAACCCCAUGUGCAACUUGUCAUGCACUGGCAGUCACACUCAAAAAGGGAUCCUCUGCAGGUGAACCACUUCAGAGAAGAUAUAGCUGCUGGUAAAUGGCUUUGGUUUCCAGACACAAUUUUCCAACUUCACAUUCACAGAUAAACAAAACAGAAGUGAUGGUUUGUAUAUGCUUGGCCCAGGGAGUGACACUAUUAGGAGGUGUUGGAGUAUGUGUGUCACUGUGGGUGUGGGCUUAAGACCUUCACCCUAGCUGCCUGGAAGUCAGUAUUCUGCUAGAAGCUUUCAGAUGAAGAUGUAGAACUUUCAGCUCCUCCUGCACGAUGCCAGCCAGAAUCCCAACAUGUUCCACCUUGAUGAUAAUGGACUGAACCUCUGAACCUGUAAGCCAGCCCCAAUUAAAUGUUGU
rnacentral:lncRNA from 1 species